CCUACGGGAGGCAGCAGUGAGGAAUAUUGGUCAAUGGGCGCGAGCCUGAACCAGCCAAGCAGCGUGAAGGAAGAAUGUCCUACGGGUUGUAAACCUCUUUUAUAAAGGAAUAAAGUCAGGCACGUGUGCCCUUUUGUAUGUACUUUAUGAAUAAGGAUCGGCUAACUCCGUGCCAGCAGCCGCGGUAAUACGGAGGAUCCGAGCGUUAUCCGGAUUUAUUGGGUUUAAAGGGAGCGUAGAUGGGUUGUUAAGUCAGUUGUGAAAGUUUGCGGCUCAACCGUAAAAUAGCAAUUGAUACUGGCAGCCUUGAGUACAGGUGAGGUAGGCGGAAUGCGUGGUGUAGCGGUGAAAUGCUUAGAUAUCACGAAGAACUCCGAUUGCGAAGGCAGCUUACUAGACUGACACUGACAUUGAUGCACGAAAGUGUGGGUAUCGAACAGGAUUAGAUACCCGUGUAGUC
rnacentral:rRNA from 1 species